GGGAAGUCUCAUAUGUUCAGUUAUAUUUAGAUUCACUUCCUUAGAUUUUUGAAUGUAGAAGUAAGAUGCUACAAAUACCUAUAAGGUUAUUCAAGUAUCUAGGUAAUUGAUUAAAUUAGAAAGGCAAGGAACACAGGGAGACUUG